GUGAAUCAUCGAAUCUUUGAACGCAAAUUGCACUCUUUGGUAUUCCGGAGAGUAUGCCUGUUUGAGGGCCAGUUUAAAUAAAAAUCGGUGUGUUUGCUUCCGUUCGUGGUCACGCACCGGUUUUUGGCCGUCCUGCCUUGGGUUAAGUGACUUAAAAUUUUGCAUGAUUUUUUAGAACGUAUUUAACUGAUUUUACGUACGUUUGAGAUACCGCUUAGUAGAUGGGGU
rnacentral:misc_RNA from 1 species